CUACGGGGCAGCAGUGGGGAUCUUGCACAAUGGAGGAACUCUGAUGCAGCCAUGCCGCGUGAGUGAAGAAGGCCCUUGGGUUGUAAAGCUCUUUCGUCGGGGAAGAAAAUGACUGUACCCGAAUAAGAAGGUCCGGCUAACUUCGUGCCAGCAGCCGCGGUAA
rnacentral:rRNA from 1 species